GGUUAAGCGACUAAGCGUACACGGUGGAUGCCCUGGCAGUCAGAGGCGAUGAAGGACGUGCUAAUCUGCGAAAAGCGUCGGUAAGGUGAUAUGAACCGUUAUAGCCGGCGAUGUCCGAAUGGGGAAACCCAGUGCAAUUCGUUGCACUAUCGUUAACUGAAUACAUAGGUUAACGAGGCGAACCGGGGGAACUGAAACAUCUAAGUACCCCGAGGAAAAGAAAUCAACCGAGAUUCCCCCAGUAGCGGCGAGCGAACGGGGAGCAGCCCGGAGUCUGAAUCAGCUUGUGUGUUAGUGGAAGCGUCUGGAAAGUCGCAGGGUACAGGGUGAUACUCCCGUACACUAAAACACACAGGUUGUGAACUCGAAGAGUAGGGCGGGACACGUGGUAUCCUGUCUGAAUAUGGGGGGACCAUCCUCCAAGGCUAAAUACUCCUGACUGACCGAUAGUGAACCAGUACCGUGAGGGAAAGGCGAAAAGAACCCCGGCGAGGGGAGUGAAAAAGAACCUGAAACCGUGUACGUACAAGCAGUAGGAGCCCACUAGUUGGGUGACUGCGUACCUUUUGUAUAAUGGGUCAGCGACUUAUAUUCUGUAGCAAGGUUAACCGUAUAGGGGAGCCGCAGGGAAACCGAGUCUUAACUGGGCGUUAAGUUGCAGGGUAUAGACCCGAAACCCGGUGAUCUAGCCAUGGGCAGGUUGAAGGUUGGGUAACACUAACUGGAGGACCGAACCGACUAAUGUUGAAAAAUUAGCGGAUGACUUGUGGCUGGGGGUGAAAGGCCAAUCAAACCGGGAGAUAGCUGGUUCUCCCCGAAAGCUAUUUAGGUAGCGCCUCGUGAAUUCAUCUUCGGGGGUAGAGCACUGUUUCGGCUAGGGGGUCAUCCCGACUUACCAACCCGAUGCAAACUACGAAUACCGAAGAAUGUUAUCACGGGAGACACACGGCGGGUGCUAACGUCCGUCGUGAAGAGGGAAACAACCCAGACCGCCAGCUAAGGUCCCAAAGUCAUGGUUAAGUGGGAAACGAUGUGGGAAGGCCCAGACAGCCAGGAUGUUGGCUUAGAAGCAGCCAUCAUUUAAAGAAAGCGUAAUAGCUCACUGGUCGAGUCGGCCUGCGCGGAAGAUGUAACGGGGCUAAACCAUGCACCGAAGCUGCGGCAGCGACACUAUGUGUUGUUGGGUAGGGGAGCGUUCUGUAAGCCGUUGAAGGUGGCCUGUGAGGGUUGCUGGAGGUAUCAGAAGUGCGAAUGCUGACAUAAGUAACGAUAAUGCGGGUGAAAAACCCGCACGCCGGAAGACCAAGGGUUCCUGUCCAACGUUAAUCGGGGCAGGGUGAGUCGACCCCUAAGGCGAGGCCGAAAGGCGUAGUCGAUGGGAAACAGGUUAAUAUUCCUGUACUUGGUGUUACUGCGAAGGGGGGACGGAGAAGGCUAUGUUGGCCGGGCGACGGUUGUCCCGGUUUAAGCAUGUAGGCGGAUGUUCCAGGUAAAUCCGGAACGUUAUUAACGCUGAGGUGUGAUGACGAGGCACUACGGUGCUGAAGUGACAAAUGCCCUGCUUCCAGGAAAAGCCUCUAAGCAUCAGGUAACAUCAAAUCGUACCCCAAACCGACACAGGUGGUCAGGUAGAGAAUACCAAGGCGCUUGAGAGAACUCGGGUGAAGGAACUAGGCAAAAUGGUGCCGUAACUUCGGGAGAAGGCACGCUGAUGGUAGGUGAAGUGACUUGCUCAUGGAGCUGAAAUCAGUCGAAGAUACCAGCUGGCUGCAACUGUUUAUUAAAAACACAGCACUGUGCAAACACGAAAGUGGACGUAUACGGUGUGACGCCUGCCCGGUGCCGGAAGGUUAAUUGAUGGGGUUAUCCUCGCGGAGAAGCUCUUGAUCGAAGCCCCGGUAAACGGCGGCCGUAACUAUAACGGUCCUAAGGUAGCGAAAUUCCUUGUCGGGUAAGUUCCGACCUGCACGAAUGGCGUAAUGAUGGCCAGGCUGUCUCCACCCGAGACUCAGUGAAAUUGAACUCGCUGUGAAGAUGCAGUGUACCCGCGGCAAGACGGAAAGACCCCGUGAACCUUUACUAUAGCUUGACACUGAACACUGGUCCUUGAUGUGUAGGAUAGGUGGGAGGCUUUGAAGUGUGGACGCCAGUCUGCAUGGAGCCGUCCUUGAAAUACCACCCUUUAAUGGCUGGUGUUCUAACGUUGGCCCCUAAUCGGGGUUGCGGACAGUGUCUGGUGGGUAGUUUGACUGGGGCGGUCUCCUCCUAAAGAGUAACGGAGGAGCACGAAGGUCAGCUAAUCCUGGUCGGACAUCAGGAGGUUAGUGCAAUGGCAUAAGCUGGCUUGACUGCGAGCGUGACGGCGCGAGCAGGUGCGAAAGCAGGUCAUAGUGAUCCGGUGGUUCUGAAUGGAAGGGCCAUCGCUCAACGGAUAAAAGGUACUCCGGGGAUAACAGGCUGAUACCGCCCAAGAGUUCAUAUCGACGGCGGUGUUUGGCACCUCGAUGUCGGCUCAUCACAUCCUGGGGCUGAAGUAGGUCCCAAGGGUAUGGCUGUUCGCCAUUUAAAGUGGUACGCGAGCUGGGUUUAGAACGUCGUGAGACAGUUCGGUCCCUAUCUGCCGUGGGCGCUGGAGAAUUGAGGGGGGCUGCUCCUAGUACGAGAGGACCGGAGUGGACGCAUCACUGGUGUUCGGGUUGUCAUGCCAAUGGCAUUGCCCGGUAGCUAAAUGCGGAAGAGAUAAGUGCUGAAAGCAUCUAAGCACGAAACUUGCCCCGAGAUGAGUUCUCCCUGACCCUUUAAGGGUCCUGAAGGAACGUUGAAGACGACGACGUUGAUAGGCCGGGUGUGUAAGCGCAGCGAUGCGUUGAGCUAACCGGUACUAAUGAACCGUGAGGCUUAACCUU
rnacentral:rRNA from 1 species